rnacentral:rRNA from 1 species
GGNAUUAAUUUGAUCAUGGCUCAGAUUGCACGCGUGGUUUGCAUGCCUUACACAUGCAAGUCGAACGGGUAACAGGUCUUCGGACGCUGACGAGUGGCGAACGGGUGAGUAAUACAUCGGAACGUGCCCAGUCGUGGGGGAUAACUACUCGAAAGAGUAGCUAAUACCGCAUACGAUCUGAGGAUGAAAGCGGGGGACCUUCGGGCCUCGCGCGAUUGGAGCGGCCGAUGGCAGNAUUAGGUAGUUGGUGGGAUAAAAGCUUACCAAGCCGACGAUCUGUAGCUGGUCUGAGAGGGACGAACGCAAGGCCAGCAUCCUGGGGCGAACCUGGAUGGACAACGUGGCCCCAACGAACGUUCCCCUUAACGAGCGAGGGCCAGCCAGAUAGGGCGCGGAAAUUUCCUGGGACAUACUGGGCGAAAAGGCGCGUAGUCAUCACGACGCCUAGAAUUGACCCCCGGGCCGGCCUUUGGUGCCAAACGGCUGGGAAUUUGCACA